rnacentral:rRNA from 1 species
UCCGGUGGUCAUAGAGCGGAGGUCACACCCGUUCCCAUUCCGAACACGGCAGUUAAGCUCCGCAUCGCCGAUGAUACUGCGCGGGUAACUGCGUGGGAAAGUAGGACGCCGCCGGGA